UACGUAGGUGGCAACCGUUGUCCGGAUUUACUGGGUGUAAAGGGCGUGUAGCCGGGCUGACAAGUCAGAUGUGAAAUUCCGGGGCUCAACCCCGGACCUGCAUUUGAAACUGUUGGUCUUGAGUAUCGGAGAGGCAGGCGGAAUUCCUAGUGUAGCGGUGAAAUGCGUAGAUAUUAGGAGGAACACCAGUGGCGAAGGCGGCCUGCUGGACGACAACUGACGGUGAGGCGCGAAAGCGUGGGGAGCAAACAGG
rnacentral:rRNA from 1 species